rnacentral:rRNA from 1 species
AUUGAACGCUGGCGGCAGGCCUAACACAUGCAAGUCGAGCGAGCGGCGGACGGGUGAGUAAUGUCUGGGAAACUGCCUGCUGGAGGGGGAUAACUACUGGAAACGGUAGCUAAUACCGCAUACCAUCAGAUGUGCCCAGAUGGGAUUAGCUAGUAGGUGGGGUAACGGCUCACCUAGGCGACGAUCCCUAGCUGGUCUGAGAGGAUGACCAGCCAAAAUGGAACUGAUACAGGGUCCAGACUCCUACGGGAGGAAGCAGUGUGGAAUAUGGCACAAUGGGCGCAAGCCUGAUGCAGCCAUGCCGCGUGGGUGAUGAGAGCCUUGGGGUUGUAAAGCACUUACAGCGGGGAGGCGUUACCCGCAGAAGAAGCACCGACUAACUCCGUGCCAGCAGCCGCGGUAAUAC